GAGACUACAUGACGCAAAGCCCACCGUUAACGUGGCAGUUCGUUGACGCCUGACACGGACUGUUAGGUUCAUCGGUUAGUCCUUUCAAGUUUCCGUCCCCAAACAUUACCACAGAGUCCGAGUCUCUGAGAUCUUCGCCUUCUCUACUGUGAUCGUCUCAAAUCUUCCGAUGGUAAUUUCAUCUGUAAGGGGAUAUGAAAGAAAGGAACUCUACUUCCACCCUUAAGCGAAUUCUAGUGACUUGUGCAGCUCAGGCAAAAGAAUACGGGGGUUGUGUUGCAGCAAAGGUUCCACAAGUUGAACGUGAUAUGUGCUUGAAAGAAUUUCUUGCUUUAAAGAGUUGCAUGCAAAAUGUGCUGCGAGGAAAGCCGUGAGCCAGCAAGUGUGACCUUCUGUGCUUGGAGACAGUAGUUAGGACCAUUUGGAAAAGCCCAGAGCCUGGUUGAGGAUUCCCAUUAUCUGUAGCAGUACUUGCUAAGCCCUGCAAUAACUCUUCAAAAGUCUGAAAAUCAAUCAAACAAGAUGUCUGGAAAAGCAUCAAGUUCACAGUCUAGCAUUGGUUUGAGUGGGUCUGGUGCUCUGUCACAUGUUUAUAUUCCAUAUCUGCCCCUAAGAAGCAGCGUAGCUGGUUCAAAGGGUUUAUUUUAUGAUGAUGGCAAUAAGUUGCUGCUUUCCCCAACAUCAGAUCAGGUCUUCUGUUGGAAAACUGUUCCUUUUGAUCCUGUGGUUACUCCUACUUCUGAUUCAAUUAGUGAAGGCCCCAUCUUAUCUAUUCGAUAUUCAUUAGAUGCAAAGUUUAUAGCAAUCCAAAGAUCUGAUCACGAGAUACAGUUCUGCAAUAGAGGAAGUGGGGAAACUUUUAGUCAGAUGUGCAAGUUAGAGUCAGAGAGCAUACUGGGUUUCUUUUGGACAGAUUGCCCAGUGUGUGAUAUUGUAUUUGUAAAGACCAGUGGGCUGGACUUGUUUGCUUACAAUUCUGAGUCAAAAUCACUCCAAUUGGUUGAGACAAAGAAAUUGAAUGUGAGUUGGUAUGUUUACACACAUGAAAGUCGCAUGGUUCUUCUUGCUUCAGGAAUGCAGUGCAAAACCUUCAAUGGUUUUCAGCUCUCAUCUGCAGGCAUUAUUCGUCUGCCAAAGUUUGAGAUGGCAAUGGCUAAAUCUGAGGCUAACAAUAAACCUGUCCUUGCUGCUGAAGAUAUUUUUAUAGUCACUGUCUAUGGCAGAAUAUACUGUCUGCAAGUUGAUAGGAUUGCAAUGCUCCUCCACUCUUACAGGUUUUACCGUGAUGUGGUUGUACAACAGGGUUCUUUGCCAAUUUAUUCAAGCAAGGUUGCUGUGAGUGUGGUUGAUAAUGUACUGCUUGUGCAUCAAGUUGAUGCGAAGGUUGUUAUACUGUAUGAUAUAUUUGCAGAUUCUCGGGCACCCAUAUCAGCCCCACUUCCUCUACUAUUCAGGGGUUUCCCCAGGUCUAAUUCUUCUUCCCUGAGAUCAAAUAGGGAAGAUAAUGAAAGUUCAGAAGUUAAUGUUUUAAGUGACCAUGAAGCAAUCGUCUACGGAGAUAAUUGGACUUUUCUUGUUCCUGAUCUCAUCUGUGAUGUUGCUAAUCAACUUUUGUGGAAGAUUCAUUUAGACUUGGAGGCAAUUUCUGCCAGUAGCUCAGAAGUACCAUCAGUACUUGAAUUCUUGCAACGGCGGAAGUUAGAAGCCAAUAAGGCUAAACAACUGUGCUUAUCAAUAGCACGCACUGUUAUUCUAGAACGCAGACCUGUGUCUACAGUGUCUCGGGCAUUAGAUGUUUUAGUUUCCUCCUACUCCCACUCUAUUAAGACAGGCACCUAUCUUAAGGGAAUAAAAUCUGCAAAAACAUCGCCUUCUGGUGAGCCACAGACGAGUGGCCCUAGAUCUAGUGCUGAUGUAUCCUCUAGAAGAGUAGACACAGUUGGGAAGUCCAUUAAAUUUGAAUAUGCUGCUGGAUUGGACAGUGAAUCGCCUAACAGAUUUUUAACCUAUUCAAAUUCCGACUCUGAGGAUAGUACAAGUUUUGAAGCCCCAAAGGCCACUUCAAAUAACUCUCAAUUGUUCGAUGGUAAAAUGGACAGGGGGAAGUUAACGGGUGCUGAAACUUCUGGCGGUGAAAUUCGGUCUUCAUCUUUGCAAUAUCAGGUUCUUAGAUCCGACAACAGCCCAUUGGAUGCUAAUGCUUCGCAGCAAGAAUCCCAACCGACCUCUCCAGUAAUUUCACCUGAUGAAAUGUACAGUUUUGUGUUCGCUCCUGUUGAGGAAGAGAUUAUUGGAGAACCUUCGUACUUGGUUGCCAUCAUUGUUGAGUUUCUUCGUAGUGCUAAUAUUGAAAAGGUUGAAGUCCAUCCUAAUCUCAAUGUCCUGACCGUACAAUUACUAUCACGCAGUGAGCGAUAUGCAGAACUUGGGCAGUUUGUCUUAAACAAGAUUCUUGAACCUUCUAAAGAAGUAGCAAUGCAACUCCUAGAGUCUGGCCGUCAGAACUCUCGAACAAGGAAGUUGGGUUUAGAUAUGCUGAGGCAGCUUUCUUUACACCAUGACUAUGUACUGUUACUAGUGCAAGAUGGAUAUUACCUUGAAGCAUUACGCUAUGCACGGAAGUACAAGGUCAGAACCAUUCGACCUUCGCUGUUUCUCGAGUCAGCAUGUACCUCCAGUGACUUGCAAAAUUUAGCUGCGGUCCUUAGAUUCUUUUCGGAUUUCAUUCCUGGAUUCAGAGACACAUCAGAUCACGACACUUACUACCGCAUUCUCAGCGAGAGGAACUCAUCCAUUGCUGCUUGAAGUUUUUCAUAGUAUGAAUGACUGGGGCAACUGAAUAAUGCCGUAAUUACCGAGGCCCUUAGAGCUGUGCAAGUUUUCAGAACUCCUUUUCGAAAGUACUACGUGAUUAGUUUCAGGUAGGCAGGUAGAGCCAGAUGAGAAUAUGCAUGUUUAAUUGGCUACAUUUGUUCCUUCCCUUUUGGAGUAAACAAGCAAAUAACAGUCCUCAAACACAAGUGCUACUAUAGCAAAACAUGUAUCACCAGAUACAAGACAAGACAAAGGAAUAGGAGAGUACAUGCUUUAUUAGGAGGACCACUUUGGAGUGCCAGAGAAGAGGACUUGGUUAUGAUCAAUUAAGCCAAGUGUAUGGCCGACUAAAGUGCAUGGACUUAAAACUUCUCUCAUCUACAUUUUGGUUUUCUCAAACAAGUACACUCUACCGUUUUGACACACUUGCAAACACCAAGGGAAAAAAAGUCAAGUUGCCCAUGUUGGAUUCCAAGAAAAUGAGAGUUUUGACAAAGGCUUGAAGCAAUAAUGUAGAGGAGAGUGAAUUAGAGCAAUAGUUACUGAAUUAUUUACUUUAGCCUCGAAAUUGAGUUUCUGUGUUUUAAGUUCACGAACGUCUUUAAUGUCUCA